rnacentral:rRNA from 1 species
GGUUAAGCGACUAAGCGUACACGGUGGAUGCCCUGGCAGUCAGAGGCGAUGAAGGACGUGCUAAUCUGCGAAAAGCGUCGGUAAGGUGAUAUGAACCGUUAUAACCGGCGAUGUCCGAAUGGGGAAACCCAGUGCAAUUCGUUGCACUAUCGUUAACUGAAUACAUAGGUUAACGAGGCGAACCGGGGGAACUGAAACAUCUAAGUACCCCGAGGAAAAGAAAUCAACCGAGAUUCCCCCAGUAGCGGCGAGCGAACGGGGAGCAGCCCAGAGUCUGAAUCAGCUUGUGUGUUAGUGGAACGGUCUGGAAAGUCCGACGGUACAGGGUGAUAGUCCCGUACACCAAAAUGCACAGGUUGUGAACUCGAAGAGUAGGGCGGGACACGUGGUAUCCUGUCUGAAUAUGGGGGGACCAUCCUCCAAGGCUAAAUACUCCUGACUGACCGAUAGUGAACCAGUACCGUGAGGGAAAGGCGAAAAGAACCCCGGCGAGGGGAGUGAAAAAGAACCUGAAACCGUGUACGUACAAGCAGUGGGAGCACCUUCGGGUGUGACUGCGUACCUUUUGUAUAAUGGGUCAGCGACUUAUAUUCUGUAGCAAGGUUAACCGUAUAGGGGAGCCGCAGGGAAACCGAGUCUUAACUGGGCGUUAAGUUGCAGGGUAUAGACCCGAAACCCGGUGAUCUAGCCAUGGGCAGGUUGAAGGUUGGGUAACACUAACUGGAGGACCGAACCGACUAAUGUUGAAAAAUUAGCGGAUGACUUGUGGCUGGGGGUGAAAGGCCAAUCAAACCGGGAGAUAGCUGGUUCUCCCCGAAAGCUAUUUAGGUAGCGCCUCGUGAAUUCAUCUUCGGGGGUAGAGCACUGUUUCGGCUAGGGGGUCAUCCCGACUUACCAACCCGAUGCAAACUACGAAUACCGAAGAAUGUUAUCACGGGAGACACACGGCGGGUGCUAACGUCCGUCGUGAAGAGGGAAACAACCCAGACCGCCAGCUAAGGUCCCAAAGUCAUGGUUAAGUGGGAAACGAUGUGGGAAGGCACAGACAGCCAGGAUGUUGGCUUAGAAGCAGCCAUCAUUUAAAGAAAGCGUAAUAGCUCACUGGUCGAGUCGGCCUGCGCGGAAGAUGUAACGGGGCUAAACCAUGCACCGAAGCUGCGGCAGCGACACUAUGUGUUGUUGGGUAGGGGAGCGUUCUGUAAGCCUGCGAAGGUGACCUGUGAGGGUUGCUGGAGGUAUCAGAAGUGCGAAUGCUGACAUAAGUAACGAUAAAGCGGGUGAAAAGCCCGCUCGCCGGAAGACCAAGGGUUCCUGUCCAACGUUAAUCGGGGCAGGGUGAGUCGACCCCUAAGGCGAGGCCGAAAGGCGUAGUCGAUGGGAAACAGGUUAAUAUUCCUGUACUUGGUGUUACUGCGAAGGGGGGACGGAGAAGGCUAUGUUAGCCGGGCGACGGUUGUCCCGGUUUAAGCAUGUAGGCUGAUUGUCCAGGCAAAUCCGGAUAAUCAAGGCUGAGGUGUGAUGACGAGGCACUACGGUGCUGAAGUAACAAAUGCCCUGCUUCCAGGAAAAGCCUCUAAGCAUCAGGUAACAUCAAAUCGUACCCCAAACCGACACAGGUGGUCAGGUAGAGAAUACCAAGGCGCUUGAGAGAACUCGGGUGAAGGAACUAGGCAAAAUGGUGCCGUAACUUCGGGAGAAGGCACGCUGGUGUGUAGGUGAAGCCCCUGCGGGUGGAGCUGAGACCAGUCGAAGAUACCAGCUGGCUGCAACUGUUUAUUAAAAACACAGCACUGUGCAAACACGAAAGUGGACGUAUACGGUGUGACGCCUGCCCGGUGCCGGAAGGUUAAUUGAUGGGGUUAUCCGUAAGGAGAAGCUCUUGAUCGAAGCCCCGGUAAACGGCGGCCGUAACUAUAACGGUCCUAAGGUAGCGAAAUUCCUUGUCGGGUAAGUUCCGACCUGCACGAAUGGCGUAAUGAUGGCCAGGCUGUCUCCACCCGAGACUCAGUGAAAUUGAACUCGCUGUGAAGAUGCAGUGUACCCGCGGCAAGACGGAAAGACCCCGUGAACCUUUACUAUAGCUUGACACUGAACAUUGAGCCUUGAUGUGUAGGAUAGGUGGGAGGCUUUGAAGCGUGGACGCCAGUCUGCGUGGAGCCAACCUUGAAAUACCACCCUUUAAUGUUUGAUGUUCUAACGUUGGCCCCUUACCGGGGUUGCGGACAGUGUCUGGUGGGUAGUUUGACUGGGGCGGUCUCCUCCCAAAGCGUAACGGAGGAGCACGAAGGUUAGCUAAUCCUGGUCGGACAUCAGGAGGUUAGUGCAAUGGCAUAAGCUAGCUUGACUGCGAGCGUGACGGCGCGAGCAGGUGCGAAAGCAGGUCAUAGUGAUCCGGUGGUUCUGAAUGGAAGGGCCAUCGCUCAACGGAUAAAAGGUACUCCGGGGAUAACAGGCUGAUACCGCCCAAGAGUUCAUAUCGACGGCGGUGUUUGGCACCUCGAUGUCGGCUCAUCACAUCCUGGGGCUGAAGUAGGUCCCAAGGGUAUGGCUGUUCGCCAUUUAAAGUGGUACGCGAGCUGGGUUUAGAACGUCGUGAGACAGUUCGGUCCCUAUCUGCCGUGGGCGCUGGAGAAUUGAGGGGGGCUGCUCCUAGUACGAGAGGACCGGAGUGGACGCAUCACUGGUGUUCGGGUUGUCAUGCCAAUGGCACUGCCCGGUAGCUAAAUGCGGAAGAGAUAAGUGCUGAAAGCAUCUAAGCACGAAACUUGCCCCGAGAUGAGUUCUCCCUGAGACUUUAAGUCUCCUGAAGGAACGUUGAAGACGACGACGUUGAUAGGCCGGGUGUGUAAGCGCAGCGAUGCGUUGAGCUAACCGGUACUAAUGAACCGUGAGGCUUAACCUU